UGCUUUUCUAUCCCGCAUUAC
ensembl:piRNA 21ur-9009 ncRNA